AAGAACGUAGGUAAGAGUAACUGUUUACCUAGUGACGGUAUUUAACCAGAAAGCCACGGCUAACUACCUGCCACCAGCCGCGGUAAUACGUAGGUGGCAAGCGUUAUCCGGAUUUAUUGGGCGUAAAGCGAGCGCAGGUGGUUUCUUAAGUCUAAUGUGAAAGCCUUCGGCUCAACCGAAGAAAUGCAUUGGAAACUGGGAAACUUGAGUGCAGAAGAGGACAGUGGAACUCCAUGUGUAGCGGUGAAAUGCGUAUAUAUAUGGAAGAACACCAGUGGCGAAGGCGGCUGUCUGGUCUGUAACUGACACUGAGGCUCGAAAGCAUGGGUAGCGAACAGGAUUAGAUACCCUGGUAGUCCAUGCCGUAAACGAUGAAUGCUAAGUGUUGGAGGGUUUCCGCCCUUCAGUGCUGCAGCUAACGCAUUAAGCAUUCCGCCUGGGGAGUACGACCGCAAGGUUGAAACUCAAAAGAAUUGACGGGGGCCCGCACAAGCGGUGGAGCAUGUGGUUUAAUUCGAAGCUACGCGAAGAACCUUACCAGGUCUUGACAUCUUCUGCCAAUCUAAGAGAUUAGACGUUCCCUUCGGGGACAGAAUGACAGGUGGUGCAUGGUUGUCGUCAGCUCGUGUCGUGAGAUGUUGGGUUAAGUCCCGCAACGAGCGCAACCCUUAUUACUAGUUGCCAGCAUUUAGUUGGGCACUCUAGUGAGACUGCCGGUGACAAACCGGAGGAAGGUGGGGACGACGUCAA
rnacentral:rRNA from 1 species